GGGGCGGUGGCGAAAUGGCAGACGCAGCGGACUUAAAAUCCGCCGGGGGUAGCCCCGUGUGGGUUCGAAUCCCACCCGCCCUA
rnacentral:tRNA from 1 species